rnacentral:rRNA from 1 species
CCUACGGGCGGCAGCAGUGGGGAAUAUUGGACAAUGGGGGGAACCCUGAUCCAGCCAUGCCGCGUGUGUGAAGAAGGCCCUCGGGUUGUAAAGAACUUUCAGUGAGGAAGAACGCCUGGUGGUUAAUACCCAUCAGGAAAGACAUCACUCACAGAAGAAGCACCGGCUAACUCCGUGCCAGCAGCCGCGGUAAUACGGAGGGUGCGAGCGUUAAUCGGAAUUACUGGGCGUAAAGCGCGCGUAGGUGGCUUGAUAAGCCGGUUGUGAAAGCCCCGGGCUCAACCUGGGAACGGCAUCCGGAACUGUCAAGCUAGAGUGCAGGAGAGGAAGGUAGAAUUCCCGGUGUAGCGGUGAAAUGCGUAGAGAUCGGGAGGAAUACCAGUGGCGAAGGCGGCCUUCUGGACUGACACUGACACUGAGGUGCGAAAGUGUGGGUAGCAAACAGGAUUAGAUACCCUGGUAGUC